rnacentral:tRNA from 1 species
ACCUAGGUGGCUCAGUCGGUGGAGCAUGGGACUCUUGAUCUUGGGGUCAUGAGAUCAAGCCUCACAUUAGGUG